rnacentral:rRNA from 1 species
AGCGAACGCUGGCGGCAGGCCUAACACAUGCAAGUCGAACGAACUCUUCGGAGUUAGUGGCGGACGGGUGAGUAACACGUGGGAACGUGCCUUUAGGUUCGGAAUAACUCAGGGAAACUUGUGCUAAUACCGAAUGUGCCCUUCGGGGGAAAGAUUUAUCGCCUUUAGAGCGGCCCGCGUCUGAUUAGCUAGUUGGUGAGGUAAAGGCUCACCAAGGCGACGAUCAGUAGCUGGUCUGAGAGGAUGAUCAGCCACAUUGGGACUGAGACACGGCCCAAACCCCUCGGGGGGGCAGCAGGGGGGAAUCUUGGGCAAUGGGCGAAAGCCUGACGCAGCCCUGCCGGGUGAAUGAUGAAGGUUUUAGGUUUGAAAAAUUCUUUCCCCGGGGACGAAAAUGACGGUACCCGGAGAAGAAGCCCCGGCUAACUUCGG